GACUGGCUGGAUUUCAUCAGCCAGUGCAUCUAUUUGCAAUUGCCCCCCACUCCAUGCGAUCACCAAAAUUGAAUCUUUGCUGAUGACAUUAUAGAGAAAACUGACUGCACGACCUUCACAUUCUACACCCCGUACAUCCAAGUCUUCUUCCCCACCAUGUACUCUCUGUAAAGGGCCCUGUAAACAAAGUGAUGCAUCAAAUAAAACAUAGGGUCGAGCUUUUAAUGCCAAAAGAUUUUCCUCUUCCAUGGCCCCAUUAUCUAACUCAGGAAAUGUUGCUUCCAACCACGAGAUUGCUAGAUUAGAGUUACUAACAGCUGUCUGAUUUACAGAUUUCAGGCCAAAUGUGUGGGCAUCUCUAUAUAUCUCCAAUACUGACUCCCAUUUGUGGACACUUCCAAAUGGAACAAUUGGGCAAAGGAUAUAAACUGAACCGUCACUGAAUAAAGUAAAAACACUAAACCUGUCCCACAAGUGGUCUCCUCCAUAAGAAAAAUCUACUGGACAGAUUGAUGCAGCAUGUCUAGAUCUACCUGGUUCGACUGGCUGUAGAUAAUACUCCUGCUCUGGUCGCAGGAGAUCUGAAGACAAAUCAAAAAGUCUGAAAACAGAGUCAGAAGAAAGGAUUCCUAAAUGUGUAUCACUGUAAGGGUGCCAUGCAACUUGCAGCGUGCGUAUCAAAUUGCUUUCAUUGAAAUAGAUUUGGGAACCAACUGAAACAGUCCUGCAAACAAUGGCUUUGUCAUUGUUAGAAGUCCGUCCAUAGAGGUACAUGACACAUAGACCAUCUGAACCAGCCAGAACCACUGCAAAGCCAUUUCUAUUGUUGGAGAUUCUAUUAACCACAAAGUCAAUCUGCACAUCUGCUAGCAAUACCUAAUAAAACAUGGGCAUCAUUAACUGCACACUUCAAGGCUUGAUAAAAUAACCCAGUUAAUGAAACUAUUUAACCAGAUGCCUACAAGCUAGAAAUGUAAAUGUUCAACGACAACAAGCACCUUGCAAAGAAAAACUUAUAGAGGGAAAAGACCACUGAACUUUGUUGUUUGCAGCUUAAAAAACAUUACAUUAAAUUUCUAACCCGUGCCAUAACCUAUAUGCGGAUACUGCAUUGCGGUCCCUUCAAAUUGAAUCCGAUUACAGUUCAUAGAUAUUGCACCACUCUUCCGUUCAAAUUGAACUCUAUCACUCCCCAAUCUAUUGUUGCAGAAACUCGGCUUUUUCAGUUCAUAACCCAUUCCUUUUUCUCCUAUUGUUACAUAGCAAGCCUGAAUCGAGCAAUGGACCAGGAACCAAAAGCAUUUCAAUAGGCCUGACACAUAUCAAUCUAUUUAACACCAGAAUUACCUGGCCGGAGCAGAGUUGCACUGUUAUUGUACUAAAAAUAUGAACAUUCAUUCUACCCAAAAAAAAUAUGAACCCUCAGGAAAUUUAAAAGGAAUGCUAAGCCGAGAUUACGUCAAAUUCCCAGUUAUCUCCUCCACUUUCCUGAACUUUCUCAGCACCCAAACAGGAGAGAGAGAGAGAGUACCCUCCAAGGAGUAGCAGCGAGGACAGAGGUGGGUUCAGGCUCGCCGAGCCGAAUAGAAAUGCGAUGGAGACAAUGCUUGCUCGAAUCCCAAUAAUACAACCUAGAAUACCCGUCCCAUGCCAACAGGUUCCUCGGCGCUCUAGCAGCGGCGUCUCCGUCGGCUACAGAAGUGAAGAGAGGGUGGGACUUCAGUGGGACCCACUGGACAUCUUCUUUGGGAGUUAGGGAUCGCGGAGACGAAUCCAUGUUCGACUCAGUCAGCUCGAAGUUGAAUCUCAUUUUCACUCUGUUUCUCUCAUUCUCCAGAAUCUCACUGUCUAAUUUUUCGAUAGAGAGCAAAGCGGGAGGAAUUGGCCCUAAGCCCUGCCUGCAGUUGCAGCUUGCAAAAUUUUCGGGAAGAUGCGAAGUGAUGCGACAUCGUUCCA
rnacentral:misc_RNA from 1 species